rnacentral:lncRNA from 1 species
GGGACAGAUUUGGAAGCAUCGUUGCUAAGUUUUGAGAAACUUGACCGUGCCUCGCCAGAUCUUUGGCCCGAACAGUUACCAGGUGUUGCUGAAUUUGCAGCUUCUUUCAAAAGUCCCAUCACAAGCUCUCCACCAACAUGGAUGGCUGAAAUAGAACGGGAUGACAUUGAUAUGUUGAAAGAACUGGGGAGUCUCACCACAGCUAAUCUGAUGGAGAAGGUACGAGGCCUACAGAACCUGGCCUACCAGCUGGGGCUGGAUGAGUCCAGAGAGAUGACAAGGGGAAAAUUCUUGAACAUUCUAGAAAAGCCCAAGAAGUAGCAACUGCUCAUGGACUGGUGUUCUGAAGUCUGUAACCAAGUUCCCUUCCAAACGCGACUCUGAUGCCCACCACGUGCUUCCUUGGGAAAGCCUGGAGACUGAGCUUCAGCACUGCCCUUCUCCCCUGCCCCUGGCACCCUGCGCCUCUGAGGACAUUUGGUAGCAAGAGGAGAGUCUGUUCUACCCAAGGAUCAUUGCCAUUCACUGAGUCAGCUUCGUUGCUCUGGAUAUUGCUAAAGGUGGUUUCCAGGAGCCCCAGGAUCAUAUAGUUCCUUUGAUUCUGUAAUGGCAAAGACAGUUGAAUGGGUUCUGUUGAGUUGUACUUGAUCUCUUUAGCAUUCAUGAUGAGGAUAUCGAGACCAACUAUGUUCUGGACCAGACUGUGCACCCUGACCUGUGAAUUCUCCAAGAUCUAUGGGUUCUAUGACUUCCAUUCUGGAGGAGUGCACAUCUACCUUUUCAAGGCUAUACCUCCAAUGACACUCCCACCCUCAGCACUGUCUGGUCCCUACGUCCCAGUCCCAUUGGCAGUUCUGACUCCAGAUAAGAGGAACUCUUGCAGUGACUUUACUGGGAUUAGCUGUAGAGUGAAUGGCUCAUGCUGUGUCACUUUGAGUCCUAGACCUCCAAGACCAGUAAGAAGGUAACAGAAGGAACGCUGGGUAGUCUCUUACAUUUGUAAGUGAAAAAGUGGGAGGGCAUGGUUGUGAGAGUCCCCAUGUGACUGAAAACUGGAAGCCUGACUGACUGGUGUGCUAGCAAAUGGUAGUGGCACUUGUCCCCCCCUCCCCCUCUCAGCCAUCUAUCAGAUGCUUUGCUUAUAUGAUAAGAACGCACCCCGUGAAAGUGUCCUGGCUUAAAUACAACUCUCACAGAUUUUCUUUUUUUUUUUUUUUUUUUUUUUUGCUAGUUGUAUAUGUCUGCUAAAAUCUGAAAAUCUUGCCCAUGGGUAAAAUCAAUUAGACCUAGUCUCUCACGUUUCGAAGAGUACAGCAAGUUCCUUGAACUGUGUAGAAAGAAAAGCCCUGAGGCCAUCGUCCACUGGGAGUGUGGACACAGGAAAAAUUGUGGUCAUGUUGUGGUCUUGUAUCUGUUAGGGCACAGUACUCUUGGGGUCCACAGCAGGUCCCUUGACUGUUUUUGACAUUUGUGCUUAAUGCUAGAAUUGAUGUUGGAUUUUCCCCCUCAUUGAUGGUUUUGAUCAACACAAUUUUACUUUUUGAAAGGAAAAGGCAAUGAAAUAUAUACCACAAAUAUGAGUGUGAGAAGAGAUGUAUUCUGCUGGGGUACUCCCUACAAGGGCCAGGUGAUUUUAAGCUUAAUUCUAUAAUUGACAUUUUUAAUCUCACUGAAUGCAGUUAAGUGAGUUUGUACAAGUGAGGGGAAAUAAUGCCAUAAUGUCAAUUUUUUUCUUCACUCUGUUUUUGAGAGUUGAUGACAUCGGGCACUUUUCAGAGUUUGGGGAAAUUGAAAAGUAUGUGGAGAAUACUGGGCUAACGCCCCAAACUAACGCAAGUCUGUAAUGUAGGAAGCCAGGAGUUGGUGUUUUGAUCUGCUAUGGCCUCCUUCUCCUAUCACCCUACUCACCAGCACUUAAUUAAUGUAAGUAGAUGUUUUAGACUCGUGGUAUUUAUUGUUUUUGUAUUGUAAUCCUUAGAAAUGUUAAUGGUGUAUUUUUAUAUUGAUAAUAUAAACUUAAUGUAUAGUAUGUAUAUGUAUUUUAGAAUGUUAGAGAAUACUUUGUGUAUAAUGUGGUGUCUUCAUAAUAAAUAUGUCCCUUGU